CGUGUAGGCGGUCAGGUAGGUCGGUUGUGAAAACUGGAGGCUCAACCUUCAGAGGUCGACCGAAACCCCCUGGCUAGAGUCCGGGAGAGGAGAGUGGAAUUCCUGGUGUAGCGGUGAAAUGCGCAGAUAUCAGGAAGAACACCCGCGGCGAAAGCGGCUCUCUGGAACGGUACUGACGCUGAGACGCGAAAGCGUGGGGAGCGAACAG
rnacentral:rRNA from 1 species